rnacentral:lncRNA from 1 species
CCGGCAAACCCUUGUGACAGUUUACUUGGCCAACGCACAUACAGGGGGAAGGAUAAAGAGACUAGCAUGUGUGUGUAUAUAUACUAAAGAUUUGUGUGUAUAUAUAUAUUAAAGAUUUAUACAGAUUUUGAAGCUAAAUGACUGGGAGUCAUGGUUGGAGAAAAGAUGGAGGCUAAAGAAAUGGGGAGAGAAAGGCUAAAUGACUGGGAGUCAUGGUUGGAGAAAAGAUGGAGGCUAAAGAAAUGGGGAGAGAAAGAAGAGAAGAGC